CCGGCGACCGGCGCACGGGUGAGUAACACGUAUGCGACCUGCCCCCCGCGAGGGGGAUAACCGGGAGAAAUCCCGACUAAUACCGCGUAACGCCGCGGACCUGCAUGGGUCUGCGGCCAAAGGAAGCGAUUCCGGGCGGGGGAUGGGCAUGCGGCGCAUUAGCUAGUCGGCGGGGUAACGGCCCACCGAGGCGACGAUGCGUAGGGGUUCUGAGAGGAAGGUCCCCCACACUGGUACUGAGACACGGACCAGACUCCUACGGAAGGCAGCAG
rnacentral:rRNA from 1 species